UGAAGAAGGACAGGCACUUCCAGCACCUUGCAGGCCUGAGCCACCAGGAGAGACACAGAUCCAAACCCCAAUUGCCCCCUGUUCUGCUCUAAGGAAAGUCUUUAGGCUGUGACUUCCUGUGACUGCCCUCACAGCCCUUUUGCCGACUGGACCCCUGGUCUCUCACAGAAAGGCAAUCACAACACAACAGACCAUGUCGACUCCCUGCCUGACACUCUGGACACUCGAAUAGAUCGUGAAGCUCCCACUGAGGUGCCUGCUGUUGGGUCCUGGUGAGACAGAGAAGCCAGCAUGUAUGUUGUUGGUAUACUGCAGGUGCUCCGAGAUGCUGUCGCAUGACACCUAUCCUCAUCUCCAUCCCAGGCCACAGGUUUGAACCCUCAAUGCAUGGCCAACUGUAGAAAGUUGGUUAGCACAGCUUGGAUUGAUCCACGUUUUCUAAUAAGUCACCCUACUGUUG